UAUAAACACGUAAGUUUGAAGAAUUAUUACUAUCAUCAGUCUAGUAUUAAUAAAAAGAAAAAUCAUUCAAAGACAAUACUAUAACACUCUAAGCUAUACGAUAAGUCCAUUCUGUGUUUUUUUCUUCUUAGUCACUUUGGUUUGUUGGAUUUUUCUUUUGUUUUUCUUUUUCUUUUUCUUUUUUUUUUUUCUUCUUUCUUUCUUUUUUUUUUUUUUUUUUAACAAAGAUAAGGUAUGUCAGCACUGAGAAAAACUUGCAUGAGGUUAUCUUAAAGCAGAUGCCUCUUGUGUGCUGGCUUGCCUUUUCUCAGCUAGUAAUUGCAUAAACUGCUUAGGAAGAAAAUGCCUCAGAGUAGAAACAUAAUACAUAAUCAGCUCAAAUAAUUACAACAGAAAUGCUAACUUGCUGUUUUCACAACAUGGAUAAUAGGCUUGCUUAAGGGCACAGAAUGCAAAAUUAGUUUUGCAUGUCUUGUAUUUCAGAAUCAUUAAAACAUGCUACAGCCUUAGUACAGAAAUGAAUGCCUCUCUUGCUGACUGGAAUGACAACUGGCAUCCUGGGAAUUCAGCUGUUUCAGAGUGUGGCAUAGCUAUCAGCCAGAGAGUUUUGAAUCAACUUCUUAGAAAGAAGUAUGUUAAAUGAAAGACCUGAAGAAGAUAAAGGAGAAGAUAUAUAAGAUGCUGAAAAAUCCUGAGCACUGUCCAUUAAUACAAAACAUAAAAUUCUGUCUACAAAGUUAACUUUCACUUUAAAGUUCAUUUUUCAAUAUUACUGGAUUCUCUGAAUUCACAUUUAAUUGGGUAUUGCUCAGACCCUUCCUUACUUUUUCUUUCCUGCUUGUUAGACUUAAAAAAAAAAAAAUAGGACAGAAAAAAACUGCUUGGAAAAUAUACAGACAAAUAGUCCUUAUCUUGGAAGGCCAGCUAAAGUAAAUCCUGUACCUGAAACACUUUAUGCUGCAUACUGAUGGACUUUUUGAAACACUAGAGACUUAGAAAAGCUUACUCAUGGUAUACUUUUCAAAAUUAAAUGUGCAUCAUUCUUCCCUUCUGUGGGCCCUGUAUGCCAGAUUUUUCUGGAGUCUAACUUGACAUUUUGGCUGCAGUUUAAGUCUGUUAUUUCUCC
rnacentral:lncRNA from 1 species